AGAGUUUGAUCAUGGCUCAGGAUGAACGCUAGCUACAGGCUUAACACAUGCAAGUCGAGGGGCAGCAUGGUCUUAGCUUGCUAAGGCCGAUGGCGACCGGCGCACGGGUGAGUAACACGUAUCCAACCUGCCGUCUACUCUUGGACAGCCUUCUGAAAGGAAGAUUAAUACAAGAUGGCAUCAUGAGUCCGCAUGUUCACAUGAUUAAAGGUAUUCCGGUAGACGAUGGGGAUGCGUUCCAUUAGAUAGUAGGGCGGGGUAACGGCCCACCUAGUCUUCGAUGGAGUAGGGGUUCUGAGAGGAACGGUCCCCCACAUUGGAACUGAGACACGGUCCAAACUCCUACGGGAGGCAGAA
rnacentral:rRNA from 1 species